UUGUCCAUGUCUCUCUCUUCGUCGAUGUUUUCCACGGAAGAGUUUCCUCUCUUCCUCCUCCAAUCCCAAUCACUCCAUCUUCUCUGUGGCUUCUGAUCUCGAUCUCCUUCUGGGUGAUAAAAAGACUCUCCCUUUUUGCGUGGCAGAGAGUGAAAUGGCUCUUAUGCAAUUUUGAAGAUCAUGUGUUGUUGCUCAGUGGGGGAUUCGUCGUCCUCAGGUUGCAGUCAAAGCUUCUUUUUAUCCAACCAGAUUGGAAUCUCACCUAGACAACAGUAGCGUCAGCCAAAUCAAUUGUUUUGGAGCUUCACAGUCGAGUAUGUUCUCACAGGACUUCGCUCAAGACGCUCAAGUUGCUAGACUGUUACAAAGUUGGGGACUAAUCUGUAUCCUCCAUGGCUCGCAUCUGCAAGAAUCUGGAGACUCUGAUCAUCGGUGGAUGCAGAGACAUCUCUGAUGAGUCAAUUAUAUUGCUGGCGGAUUCUUGCAGAGACGGGCUCAAGAACCUGAGGAUGGAUUGGUGCUUGAAUGUAACUGACUCUUCACUUACCUGCGUUCAAGCUUCUUAGAAGGAGAUGGGAUUUGGAGCUUGUUGAUGGAUGCUGGAUCAGGCAAGUAACCUGCCAGAGUAGUGUUGACUGCAGGGAAUGCACUAACUUGUUGGUGGACUCUGCGCAUUGUCAUCUUGGAGAACUGAGUUUUGAGUAGUGAUCUUGAAUAAUAAUUUUGAGAGAGAUUGUGAGGGAUAAAAGCAAUGAAUGAGAAGAAGA